rnacentral:rRNA from 1 species
AUUGAACGCUGGCGACAUGCCUUACACAUGCAAGUCGAACGGCAGCACGGGAACAAUCCUGGUGGCGAGUGGCGAACGGGUGAGUAAAGUAUCGGAACGUGCCCAGUCGUGGGGGAUAACGUAGCGAAAGUUACGCUAAUACCGCAUACGAUCUAUGGAUGAAAGCGGGGGAUCGGAAGACCUCGCGCGAUUGGAGCGGCCGAUAUCAGAUUAGGUAGGUGGUGGGGUAAAGGCUCACCAAGCCGACGAUCUGUAGCUGGUCUGAGAGGACGACCAGCCACACUGGGACUGAGACACGGCCCAGACUCCUACGGGAGGCAGCAGUGGGGAAUUUUGGACAAUGGGCGAAAGCCUGAUCCAGCCAUGCCGCGUGCAGGAUGAAGGCCUUCGGGUUGUAAACUGCUUUUGUACGGAACGAAAAGGUUUGGCCUAAUAAGCUGAGCUCAUGACGGUACCGUAAGAAUAAGCACCGGCUAACUACGUGCCAGCAGCCGCAGUAA